CUAUUGGAUUUGCCCAGUCAUCGGACCCACGGAUCUCGACCCCUGCCUGUGUACCACGAGUUAAGUCUGACCCCCUUAACCUGUCACUGAUAUCUGACCACAUGGUUUUGACCUACGCCUGUCUCACGGAUUCUCCUCAAGCCUGCGUAUCACGCCGCAGCACUAAACACGGAAGUGCCAGGAACCAUCGUCACCUGAGACUCUCAAAGUCUUUCAAGGUUUCAGCUCCUAAAACUCUGCCACUAAAAAGACCUCCGUGUCCCGGUGAUGUGUCGGUCCCGACGCUGCUGCUCCAGUUUUAAUAAAAUCCUUAAAACGUC